AGUGAACGCUGGCGGUAGGCCUAACACAUGCAAGUCGAACGGCAGCACAGUAAGAGCUUGCUCUUACGGGUGGCGAGUGGCGGACGGGUGAGGAAUACAUCGGAAUCUACUUUGUCGUGGGGGAUAACGUAGGGAAACUUACGCUAAUACCGCAUACGACCUACGGGUGAAAGCAGGAGAUCUUCGGACCUUGCGCGAUUGAAUGAGCCAAUGUCGGAUUAGCUAGUUGGCGGGGUAAAGGUCCACCAAGGCGACGAUCCGUAGCGGGUCUGAGAGGAUGAUCAGCCACACUGGAACUGAGACACGGUCCAGCAUCCUACGGCAGGCAGCAGUGGGGAAUAUUGGACAAGGGGCGAAAGCUUGAUCAAGCCAGACCGCGUGGGUGAAGAAGGCCUCCGGGUUGUAAAGCCCUUUUGUUGGGAAAGAAAAGCAGCAGGUUAAUACCCCGCUGUUCUGACGGUACCCAAAGAAUAAGCACCGGCUAACUUCGU
rnacentral:rRNA from 1 species